rnacentral:tRNA from 1 species
UCCAAUAUAGGUUAUAUUAAUAAACCGGUAAGGUUAUAUCUUACAAAAGAUUUUUUUGUUUUUUUUCUGUUGGUU